AUUGAACGCUGGCGGCAGGCUUAACACAUGCAAGUCGAGCGGGGUGAUGGUGCUUGCACUAUCACUUAGCGGCGGACGGGUGAGUAAUGCUUAGGAAUCUGCCUAUUAGUGGGGACAACAUCUCGAAAGGGAUGCUAAUACCGCAUACGUCCUACGGGAGAAAGCAGGGGAUCACUUGUGACCUUGCGCUAAUAGCUGAGCCUAAGUCGGAUUUGCUAGUUGGUGGGGUAAAGGCCUACCAAGGCGACGAUCUGUAGCGGGUCUGAGAGGAUGAUCCGCCACACUGGGACUGAGACACGGCCCAGAGUCCUACGGGAGGAAGCAGUGGGGAAUAUUGGACAAUGGGGGGAACCCUGAUCUAGCCAUGCCGCGUGUGUGAAGAAGGCCUUAUGGUUGUAAAGCACUUUAAGCGAGGAGGAGGCUCUUUUGGUUAAUACCCAAGAUGAGUGGACGUUACUCGCAGAAUAAGCACCGGCUAACUCUGUGCCAGCCGCCGCGGUAA
rnacentral:rRNA from 1 species